GCGGGUGUAACUCAAUUGGUAGAGUGUCAGCCUUCCAAGCUGAAUGUUGCCGGUUCGAUCCCGGUCACCCGCU
rnacentral:tRNA from 1 species